rnacentral:lncRNA from 10 species
GGGGAGAGGAAGCAAGGGGGGCAGGUGCAGGCUCUUGAACAACCAGCUCUGGAAAAAACCAACAACUCCCUCCCGCCCCUGGGUAGGGUAUUAAUCUAUUCACGAGGGAUUCGUGCCCAUGACCCAAGAACUUCCUUAGGCCUCACCUUCGAUAUAUGGGAUCAGUUCCAACUGAGGUUUGGAGGAGUCAGACAAACCCUCGCGAACUCUAGCGGAAGCUGCGGGCGUUCUGGAGCUGGACGGCGGCGACGGCAGCGCGACAGUGUCACUGUGCUGCAAGUCAACGAACUGUUCAUGGAAACACGGUUAAAAUCGUGAUUCUUACGCUUUGAAUAUUUUACCACAUUUUUUUUUUAAGGCAGAUUCCUUUCAAUCAUCUGAGUGAGCCCAGUGCAAUCUGAAGAGUCCCUACAGGUGGAAGAGGCAGGGGCCAGGAUCCAAGGAGCACCACAGCCUCUGGAAGCCGGGCAAGGAAGUGGACACCCCGGGAGCCUCCAGCAGGAAGGAAGCCCCGCGGACGCCCUAACUUCAGCUCAGCAGACCUGGUCAGAUUUCCGGCCUGCAGCUCUGUUAAGGGGAGACGUUUGUGUUGUUUGAGGCCACCGAGCCUGGUCAUCUGCGCCGGCAGCCGCAGGAGCCCAGGCCACCAUCCCCACGAGGUCCGUAUACUGUGAUGUCUGCCUGGGCAUUCUGCACAGGGUCUUUAUUUUCUCUUCCCCUCCCCUGCAAGGUCAGUCCCGGGAGCCCAGAAGGUGCUUGAUGAAUGAUCUGCAGCUGAUUGAGCGAAGGAACGAGUGAGCCGAGCCAGUCAGCAGCAUUAGUGUGAUACGUGUUGCUUUUCAAUUAAAGCUCUCUGCCUCUCGGUUGAGCAACUCUGAGAGCCGGGGUCCCCACCCUUCUGUCCCCCUCAUGGUGGGUCUUGUACCCAACAGCUUGCCAGAGCAGAGAGCCAUGAAUAGGGUUUGGUUUCAGGAAAGAUGACCAGGAGACUCAGCCCAGGAGUCAGCCUGAGUUCAAAUCCUGGCCCCACGCUUCCUGCCUUGUCACCCUGGGCAUGUGAUUCAGUUCUUGGUUCUUGUACAUUUGGGUGGAAACUGACAACUGCCUGCCAUGGGGAGAACCAGCUUGCCUGCCUUCUGCACCACGGCUGGCACUGAUCAU